rnacentral:rRNA from 1 species
AGAAUCAACGCUGGCGGCGUGCCUAACACAUGCAAGUCGAACGCGGUUACUUUUGUUUCGCAAGAAAUAGGAGUAACUGAGUGGCGAACGGGUGAGUAACACGUGGGUGACCUACCUUCGAGUGGGGGAUAACGUCCCGAAAGGGACGCUAAUACCGCAUAACAUCCUUCCUUUGAACAGGAGGAGAUCGAAAGCCGGGGGAUCGUAAGACCUGGCGCUUGAUGGACGGGGCCCGCGUCCGAUUAGCUAGUUGGUGAGGUAACGGCCCACAAGGCGACGAUC